rnacentral:rRNA from 1 species
CUGCGAAUGGCUCAUUAAAUCAGUUAUCGUUUACCUUGUAGUACCUUACUACACGGAUAUCUGUGGUAAUUCUAGAGUUAAUACGUGCUAAAAACCCCGACUUCGGGAGGGGUGUAUUUAUUAGACAAAAAACCAAUGCCCUUCGGGGCUCCUUGGUGAUUCAUAAUAACUCAACGAAUCGCAUGGCCUUGCGCCGGCGAUGGUUCAUUCAAAUUUCUGCCCUAUCAACUUUCGAUGCUAGGGUAGUGGCCUAGCAUGGUUACAACGGGUAACGGGGAAUUAGGGUUCUAUUCCGGAGAGGGAGCCCGAGAAACGGCUACCACAUCCAAGGAAGGCAGCAGGCGCGCAAAUUACCCAAUCCCGACUCGGGGAGGUAGUGACAAUAAAUACUGAUACAGGGCUCUUUUGGGUCUUGUAAUUGGAAUGAGUACGAUUUAAACACCCUAACGAGGAACAAUUGGAGGGCAAGUCUGGUGCCAGCAGCCGCGGUAAUUCCAGCUCCAAUAGCGUAUAUUAAAGUUGUUGCAGUUAAAACGCUCGUCGUUGAACCUUGGGCCUGGGCGACCGGUCUCCCUCACCGGAUGCACUGGUUCGGCCGGGCCUUUCCUUCUGGGGAUCCGCAUGCCCUUCGCUGGGCGUGUCGGGGAACCAGGACUUUUACUUUGAAAAAAUUAGAGUGUUCAAAGCAGGCCUUUGCUCGAAUACCUUAGCAUGGAAUAAUAGAAUAGGACGUGCGGUCCUAUUUUGUUGGUUUCUAGGACCGCCGUAAUGAUUAAUAGGGUCAGUCGGGGGCAUCAGUAUUCAAUUGUCAGAGGUGAAAUUCUUAGAUUUAUUGAAGACUAACUACUGCGAAAGCAUUUGCCAAGGAUGUUUUCAUUAAUCAGUGAACGAAAGUUAGGGGAUCGAAGACGAUCAGAUACCGUCGUAGUCCUAACCAUAAACUAUGCCGACUAGGGAUCGGGCGAUGUUAUCAUUUUGACUCUCUCGGCACCUUACAAAAAUCAAGUGUUUGGUUCUGGGGGGA